rnacentral:rRNA from 1 species
UACGUAGGGUGCAAGCGUUGUCCGGAAUUAUUGGGCGUAAGGAGCUCGUAGGCGGUCUGUCGCGUCGGAUGUGAAAAUCCAGGGCUCAACCCUGGACCUGCAUUCGAUACGGGCAGACUAGAGUUCGGUAGGGGAGACUGGAAUUCCUGGUGUAGCGGUGAAAUGCGCAGAUAUCAGGAGGAACACCGGUGGCGAAGGCGGGUCUCUGGGCCGAAACUGACGCUGAGGAGCGAAAGCGUGGGGAGCAAACAGG